UGCAUGGGCGUCUUAGUUCGUGGAGUGAUCUGUCUGCUUAAUUGCGUUUCAAAUUCUAUUGUUGAGUACCAGGUCCUAAGAGUUUCAAGCAAAUCUGUCUCUGAGUGUGAACUGUAUGUCUUCGGAUAUGCGACUAUCGCUCUAGACAACUAUGAUCUGCUUGUAGCCUCUGGUACUCUUUUGAACGCAACGGACGUGAUUGCAACCCCUUGUUGAGUUUGCUUCUCUUAGGAACUCUACGUCUGCUGAACCACCUACCUUAGCGGGUAGGUGGUGAGGUGGAUAAACUCGGGGGACUGCUGACUAUAACCAUUUCUCAAAACAGAGGAAGGUUGCGGCAAUAACAGGUCUGUGAUGCCCUCAGAUGUCCCGGGCUGCACACGUGCUACAAUGAGUAGCGCAGUGUGCACAUUUUGAAGAGUGAUAGGUGCUGGGGAUUGUAUAUUUCAUGGGCUCGUCCUGGUAACCAACCGCCCCCAGCAUCUAUCAACCUUCCCUUUACAGGGUGGGUAACCUCUUCGAAAUGCUGGUUUGAUUCUCUUAGUGUUUGUCAUUUUAUUCCUCGUCGCAGCUGCUCUAGGACAUAGUGAACAC
rnacentral:rRNA from 1 species